AUGGACGACGCCUGCGCCGUCUGCGCGGAGCGGCUCGAAUGGGUGGCCUACGGCGCCUGCGGCCACCGCGAGGUCUGCUCCGCCUGCGUCACCCGCCUCCGCUUCGUCCUCCGCGACCAGCGCUGCUGCCUCUGCAUGACCCACUGCCCCGCCGUCUUCGCCACCAAGGAAAUGGGGGACCGCACCAAGGCGAUCGGCGAUCUCUCGGCGCUGCCGGCCGCGGCCGGCGAGGGGAAGACCGGGGACUACUGGUACCACGAGGCCACGCAGGUGUGGUUCGACGACGCUGACCAUUACAGGAUGGUAAGGGCGAUUUGCCGGAUCUCCUGCACCGUCUGCGAAAGCAGUGGUAACAAGGGGAAGAAGGGCAGUAAGUCGUCCAAGGCGAAACACAAGAUCAAGUUCGAGACCAUCGAGCAGCUCAAAGCCCAUCUGUCCAACAAGCAUUGCUUGUACAUGUGCGACCUCUGCUUGGAUGGGAGGAAGGUAUUUAUUUGCGAGCAGAAACUUUAUACAAGGCCUCAAUUAAAUCAGCACAUAAAAACCGGUGAUUCAGAGGUGGAUGGCUCGGAAGUUGAGCGCAGGGGUUUUGCAGGGCACCCGAUGUGCAAGUUUUGUAGAAGCCCAUUUUAUGGAGAGACUGAGCUAGAUACACAUUUGACAAGAGAACAUUAUUCUUGUCACAUAUGUCAGAGGCAGCACGGUGGGCAGGAUGAUUAUUUCAGGAACUAUGAUGACUUAGAGACCGCCGCUGGUGCUGUGGUGCAUAUGUUGCAUUCGCGUGCAUCAGGCACAAGGAGAGUUGCACCCCGUCAUGCACUCAUGAGUCUGACAGUGCGUACGUAUAUGCAGCAAAAAUGGUACGGUGCUCCUAAAGUCCGUUUGUGCAUGCAUCUGAAUGGACGCCGUGUUUAUAUUUGCAGUACUAGAACUUGUCAUCUUCACGCGAGGCCGUUGCAAGCUUGUGAGAUGCAUUUCCGAAGAGACCAUUUCUUCUGCGAGGACAGAGAGUGCUUGGAGAAGAAGUUCAUUGUCUUCCAAAGUGAAGCAGAGCUUAAGAGGCACAAUGCUGUGGAGCAUAGGAAGCGCAUGCCUCAUGCACAGAAGAAUUCUGCUCUCCAGACACCAACCAGUUCUAGAGACCGGAGCGAGCUAGAGCAGAGUAAUGGCAGAGGUAGAAGGCACAACGCUUGCCUCCCCAAUGGUUCUGUUGACAAUACCUUGCUGUCUGUUCAGAAUGGCAUUGCAAAUAUGGGCCGUGGCUCAGGAAAUCAAGUUGCUGCUGUUGUGUCUCCCUUGCGAUCUAGUUCUGGGCACUCAUCACAAGCAGGCCAAAGCUCUGGGAUGAACCGUGUUUGGCAGCAACCACACUUUCCUCCCCUCUCCCGCCAGGAGGUUCCUGAUGCAAGAAUAGGUUCCUGUUUUCAAGAAGCUCCAUCCCCUCCCAUAUCAGGGCAAUCAGGGUAUACACCAUUUGCCAGUCGGAGCUCACGGACUGCUGCACGCGCAAUGGAUUUGGAAUUCCCUCCUUUAUCAGGCAGUAAUAACAGAACUGCUGCGUCAACAGAGCAGGGGGUACGAAAGGUAGCUGAGAACACUCAUGCAUUUGGGCUCCGACAACAAAGCAACGGAAUUGUGAAUACACACCAUUCUGCUCAGCAUUGGUCCCUUAAAAAUACUGAUUUGAUCCCUUCUGGUUCAAGUCACUCCCCAAGUUGGCCUACACCCAACACAAGUCCUCACGUUAGUGGAUCGCUGAGUCUGACUUCUGCAGGAAAUGGAAGGCAAGAAACACCUGUGAGCCGCCAGGUGUUGUGCUCUGUGGAUGAUGUUCGUGCAGCGAAUAAUUCAUUGGUUGAAAGAAUGCAGGCUGCAUUAGGAAUGGACCGGGACAGGUACUCGAUGUUCAAAGAGAUCUCUGGGGAGUACCGUCAAGGCGUUAUCAAUGCUUCAAAGUACCUUUCAUAUGUCGAACAAUUUGGUCUGUCGCACCUCGUUCUUGAAAUGUCCAGGUUGCUGCCUGAUCCUCAAAAGCAGAAGGAGCUUGCUGAUGCCUACUACGCGAAUUUGCGCCUUACAAGCCUCCAAGGAAACGGUGGCGGUGGAGCUGUUUGCUCGAAAGAAAGCACCCGGAAAAAUAAGGGGAAGGGGAAACUUCCUGCUGCUGCACAGGAUUUGUUAGAAGAUAAGCUCCUGAGUGCUGCCAGCAAGCUUCAGUCGCAGGUGGGAGGCUCUAGAGCGCCGUUGAGAGAAGGGUGUGGAGCAGCCGAUGGACCUUUGCAGGAGCCGAGGUGGCCUGUGAAGGGUGCUUGGCAAAACCGUGGGGGGCAGAGACUCGUGAGCAAGGCGAAGAAGUAA
rnacentral:rRNA from 1 species